rnacentral:rRNA from 1 species
GACGAACGCUGGCGGCGUGCUUAACACAUGCAAGUCGAACGGAAAGGCCCUGCUUUUGUGGGUUGCUCGAUUGGCGAACGGGUGAGUAACACGUGAGUAACCUGCCCUUGACUUUGGGAUAACUUCAGGAAACUGGGGCUCAUACCGGAUAGGAGCUCCUGCUGCAUGUUGGGGGUUGGAAAGUUUCGGCGGUUGGGGAUGGACUCGCGGCUUAUCCGCUUGUUUGUGGGGUAGUGGCUUACCAAGGCUUUGACGGGUAGCCGGCCUGAGAGGGUGACCGGCCACAAGGGGCCUGAGAGACGGCCCAGACUCCUACGGGAGGCAGCAGGGGGGAAUAUGGCACAAUGGGGGGAAGCGUGAUGCAGCAACGCCGGGUGCGGGAUGACGGCCUUCGGGGUGUAAACCGCUUUCGCAUGUGACGAAGAGUGAGUGACGGUAAUGGGUAAAGAAGCACCGGCUAACUACGUG